AGAAAGUGCGUCUGGCGGCGGC
rnacentral:miRNA from 1 species